rnacentral:rRNA from 1 species
CCUACGGGAGGCAGCAGUAGGGAAUUUUGCGCAAUGGGCGAAAGCCUGACGCAGCAACGCCGCGUGAUCGAGACGCCCUUCGGGGUGUAAAGAUCCGUCAGUGGGGACGAAACUUGACGGUACCCACAGAGGAAGCACCGGCUAACUCCGUGCCAGCAGCCGCGGUAAUACGGGGGGUGCAGGCGUUGACCAGAAUCCUUGGGCGUAAAGAGUUCGUAGGCGGGACGUAAAGUCUGGUGUUAAAGGCAGGGGCUCAACUGCUGUACGGCACUGGAUACUUGCUAGCUAGAAUGCGGUAGGGGUAAGGGGAAUUCCUGGUGUAGCGGUGAAAUGCGUAGAUAUCAGGAGGAACAUCGGUGGCGUAAGCGCUUUACUGGGCCGUAAUUGACGCUGAGGAACGAAAGCCAGGGUAGCAAAUGGGAUUAGAUACCCGUGUAGUC